UGGGGAAUCUUAGACAAUGGGCGAAAGCCUGAUCCAGCAAUGCCGCGUGAGUGAUGAAGGCCUUAGGGUUGUAAAGCUCUUUUACCAGGGAUGAUAAUGACAGUACCUGGAGAAUAAGCUCCGCCUAACUCCGUGCCAGCAGCCGCGGUAAUACGGAGGGAGCUAGCGUUGUUCGGAAUUACUGGGCGUAAAGCGCGCGUAGGCGGCGUAUCAAGUCAGGGGUGAAAUCCCGGGGCUCAACCCCGGAACUGCCCUUGAAACUAGUAUGCUAGAAUCCUGGAGAGGCGAGUGGAAUUCCGAGUGUAGAGGUGAAAUUCGUAGAUAUUCGGAAGAACACCAGUAGCGAAGGCGGCUCGCUGGGCCAUACCUGACGCUGAGACGCGAAAGCGUGGGGAGCAAACAGGAUUAGAUACCCCUGUAGUCC
rnacentral:rRNA from 1 species